UACGUAGGGUCCGAGCGUUGUCCGGAAUUACUGGGCGUAAAGAGCUCGUAGGUGGUUUGUCGCGUUGUUCGUGAAAACUCACAGCUCAACUGUGGGCGUGCGGGCGAUACGGGCAGACUUGAGUACUGCAGGGGAGACUGGAAUUCCUGGUGUAGCGGUGGAAUGCGCAGAUAUCAGGAGGAACACCAGCGGCGAAGGCGGCGCUCUGGGCCGGAACUGACGCUGAGGAGCGAAAGCGUGGGUAGCAAACAGG
rnacentral:rRNA from 1 species